rnacentral:rRNA from 1 species
UACGUAGGGUGCAAGCGUUGUCCGGAAUUAUUGGGCGUAAAGAGCUCGUAGGCGGUUUGUCGCGUCUGCUGUGAAAACCCGAGGCUCAACCUCGGGCCUGCAGUGGGUACGGGCAGACUAGAGUGCGGUAGGGGAGAUUGGAAUUCCUGGUGUAGCGGUGGAAUGCGCAGAUAUCAGGAGGAACACCAAUGGCGAAGGCAGAUCUCUGGGCCUUACCUGACGCUGAGGAGCGAAAGCGUGGGUAGCGAACAGG